ACACAUUUAUAUGUCAUAAAACUAAAGGACAAACCUAGCUGGGUGCAGUAACUGAUGCCUGUAAUCCCAGCACUUUGGAAGGCCAAGGUGGGUGGAUCACAUGAGGUCAGGAGUUUGAGACCAGCCUAGCCAACAUGUUGAAACCCAGUCUCUACUAAAAAUACAAAAAUUAGCUGAGUGUGGUUGUGCAUGCCUGUAGUCCCAACUACUCAGGAGGCUGAGACACCAGAAAUGCUUGAACUUGGCAGGUGGAGGUUGCAGUGAGCCAAUGGCUUUUGUUGCCAAUGCUUUUGGUGUUUUGUUCAUGAAGUCCUUGCCUACUCCUAUGUCCUGGAUGGUUUUGCCUAGAUUUCCUUCUAGGGUUUUUAUGGUGCCAGGUCUUAUGUUUAAGUCUUUAAUCCAUCUGGAGUUAAUUUUAGUGUAAGGUGUCAGGAAGGGGUCCAGUUUCUGCUUUUCUGCACAUGGCUAGCCAGUUUUCCCAACACCAUUUGUUAAACAUGGCAUCCUUGCCCCAUUGCUUGUUUUUGUCAGGUUUAUCAAAGAUUGUAUAGUUGUAUGUAUGUUGUGUUGCCUCCGGUGCCUCUGUUUUGUUCCAUUGGUCUAUAUCUCUGUUUUGGUACCAGUACCAUGCUGUUUUGAUUACUGUAGCCUUGUAGUAUAGUUUGAAAUCCGGUAGUGUGAUGCCCCCCUAAUGUGUUCUUUUUGCUUAGAAUUGAAAUUGGCUAUGCGGGCUCUCUUUUGGUUCCAUAUGAAGUUCAUGGUGGUUUUUUCCAGUUCUGUGAAGAAAGUCAAUGGUAGCUUGAUGGGGAUAGCGUUGAUUCUGUAAAUUACUUUGGGCAGUAUAGCCAUUUUCACAAUAUUAAUUCUUCCUAACCAUGAACAUGGAAUGUUUCUCCAUCUGUUUGUGUCCUCUCUGAUUUCGUUGAGCAGUGGUUUGUAGUUCUCCUUGAAGAGGUCCCUUACGUUCCUUGUGAGUUGUAUUCCAAGGUAUUUUAUUCUUUUUGUAGCAAUUGCGAAUGGCAGUUCGCUCUUGAUUUGGCUUUCUUUAAGUCUGUUAUUGGUGUAGACGAAUGCUUGUGAUUUUUGCACAUUGAUUUUAUAUCCGGAGACUUUGCUGAAGUUGUUUAUCAGUUUCAGGAGUUUUUGGGCUGAGGCAAUGGGGUCUUCUAGGUAUACUAUCAUGUCGUCUGCAAAUAGAGACAAUUUGGCUUCCACCUUUCCUAUUUGAAUACCCUUUAUUUCUUUUUCUUGCCUGAUUGCUCUGGCUAGAACUUCCAGUACUAUAUUGAAUAGGAGUGGUGAGAGAGGGCAUCCUUGUCUAGUGCCAGAUUUCAAAGGGAAUGCUUCCAGUUUUUGCCCAUUCAGUAUGAUAUUUGCUGUUGGUUUGUCAUAAAUAGCUUUUAUUACUUUGAGAUACGUUCCAUCGAUCCCGAGUUUAUUGAGGGUUUUUAGCAUAAAGGGCUGUUGAAUUUUGUCAAAUGCCUUCUCAGCGUCAAUUGAGAUAAUCAUGUGGUUUUUGUUUUUGGUUCUGUUUAUGUGGUGAAUUACGUUGAUAGACUUGCGUAUGUUGAACCAGCCUUGCAUCCCC
ensembl:lncRNA